rnacentral:rRNA from 1 species
GUGACUGCGUACCUUUUGUAUAAUGGGUCAGCGACUUAUAUUCUGUAGCAAGGUUAACCGAAUAGGGGAGCCGGAGGGAAACCGAGUCUUAAUUGGGCGUUAAGUUGCAGGGUAUAGACCCGAAACCCGGUGAUCUAGCCAUGGGCAGGUUGAAGGUUGGGUAACACUAACUGGAGGACCGAACCGACUAAUGUUGAAAAAUUAGCGGAUGACCUGUGGCUGGGGGUGAAAGGCCAAUCAAACCGGGAGAUAGCUGGUUCUCCCCGAAAGCUAUUUAGGUAGCGCCUCGUGAAUUCAUCUCCGGGGGUAGAGCACUGUUUCGGCUAGGGGGCCAUCCCGGCUUACCAACCCGAUGCAAACUGCGAAUACCGGAGAAUGUUAUCACGGGAGACACACGGCGGGUGCUAACGUCCGUCGUGAAGAGGGAAACAACCCAGACCGCCAGCUAAGGUCCCAAAGUCAUGGUUAAGUGGGAAACGAUGUGGGAAGGCCCAGACAGCCAGGAUGUUGGCUUAGAAGCAGCCAUCAUUUAAAGAAAGCGUAAUAGCUCACUGGUCGAGUCGGCCUGCGCGGAAGAUGUAACGGGGCUAAACCAUGCACCGAAGCUGCGGCAGCGACACUCAGGUGUUGUUGGGUAGGGGAGCGUUCUGUAAGCCUGUGAAGGUGGCCUGUGAGGGUUGCUGGAGGUAUCAGAAGUGCGAAUGCUGACAUAAGUAACGAUAAAGCGGGUGAAAAGCCCGCUCGCCGGAAGACCAAGGGUUCCUGUCCAACGUUAAUCGGGGCAGGGUGAGUCGACCCCUAAGGCGAGGCCGAAAGGCGUAGUCGAUGGGAAACGGGUUAAUAUUCCCGUACUUGGUGUUACUGCGAAGGGGGGACGGAGAAGGCUAUGUUGGCCGGGCGACGGUUGUCCCGGUUUAAGCGUGUAGGCUGGUUUUCCAGGUAAAUCCGGAACAUCAACUGAGGCGUGAUGACGAGGCACUACGGUGCUGAAGCAACAAAUGCCCUGCUUCCAGGAAAAGCCUCUAAGCAUCAGGUAACAUCAAAUCGUACCCCAAACCGACACAGG